rnacentral:rRNA from 1 species
AAUAAUUUAUUUGAUGGUUCCUUACUACAUGGAUAACUGUAGUAAUUCUAGAGCUAAUACAUGCGUAAAGUCCCGACUCUCGCGGGGAGGGAUGUAUUUAUUAGAUAAAAAACCAAUGCGGGUUCUGCCCGGUUUUGUGGUGAAUCAUAGUAACUUUUCGAAUCGCAUGGCCUCACGCCGGCGAUAGUUCAUUCAAAUUUCUGCCCUAUCAGCUUUUGACGGUAGUGUAGUGGACUACCGUGGCGUUAACGGGUAACGGAGAAUUAGGGUUCGAUUCCGGAGAGGGAGCCUGAGAAACGGCUACCACA